ensembl:lncRNA
CAACUCUGCGCCUUUCCUCCUCAGUUUAUUCCUUCCAGAUACUCAGUUGCUGCUUUUUCUUUGGAUCACUUUUCUGUGUUAUGGUAUUUCAGUUGUUUUUCCACUCCUUCCCCCACCCUCCUACCUUCCCCCCAUGGCAGGAUUCCUGAGAAGACUUGCUUUUGGAGAAAGCUGCACGCACAUCUGCUCUCUAGCUGCAGGGAGGGCCCUGUCAGGGGCUCGGGUCUCAGGGAGCCACGCCACACUGGGCAGUGGAGGCCGGGGGGCAGGGUCCAUGGGGCAUGGCAGCAGAGGCCCAUGGUGGGCAUGCUUCCUACAGCAGGCAGAGCUGAGCCUCAGGGCCUGGGGGUGCUGCCAAAGACCUGGGGCUGCAGCUCACCAGCUCCCUGGCUCUGCUGGCUGUGGCUGCUGGCUCGCUCGGCUCAGAUCUGCGUAUGCCAGACUUGAGGCUGGGCAUCUGAACUGCUGGCAGAGCAGCCAAGCAGGGCCUGAUCUUCACAAGCUGAUCACCUCACCAGCUAUGCCAGGCUGUGGCUGGACUCAAGGGCACGACUUAGGAUAAGAAACUGGCUCUGUUGACUCCUCUGUUCAAGAGCUUACAGGACCCUGAGGAUUUACCCCAUGUGGACGUUACAACUGACCAUCACAAGCCGAGCACGAGACAGGAUGGAGACUGGUGAAAAAGGAGGAACGCCUUCUGGAG